CAGCAUACGAGAUUAUCGGCUGCGCCGACUGGAUAAAAACUUAUAACUUACGGCGCAACCGGGCUUUUCCCUGGUGUUGGCGCAGAAUUCGCGCACCCCGGUUUAUCC
rnacentral:sRNA from 1 species